GUGGGGAAUCUUGCGCAAUGGGCGAAAGCCUGACGCAGCCAUGCCGCGUGAAUGAUGAAGGUCUUAGGAUUGUAAAAUUCUUUCACCGGGGACGAUAAUGACGGUACCCGGAGAAGAAGCUCCGGCUAACUUCGUGCCAGCAGCCGCGGUAAUACGAAGGGGGCUAGCGUUGCUCGGAAUUACUGGGCGUAAAGGGCGCGUAGGUGUACAGCUUAGUCAGAGGUGAAAGCCAAGGGCUCAACCUUGGAAUUGCCUUUGAUACUGGCUGUCUUGAGUAUGGGAGAGGUGAGUGGAACUCCGAGUGUAGAGGUGAAAUUCGUAGAUAUUCGGAAGAACACCAGUGGCGAAGGCGACUCACUGGCCCAAUACUGACGCUGAGGCGCGAAAGCGUGGGGAGCAAACAGGAUUAGAAACCCGGGUAGUCC
rnacentral:rRNA from 1 species